GCCAGAGUGGUGUAAUGGUUUGAGCACUGGACUAUGACUCCAGAGACCAGGGUUCGAAUCCUAGCUCGCA